GUAUUAUUUGCAGAUGUAUAUUGUGAGAGAGUUUGAUUUCUUUAUAUUGCAGCUAUGGUGUGACUGAAGUUAAUGGUGUAGAAAGAUUAACAGGUCCUGGCACUGAUGUUCAGCCAGAAACUGAUGUUGAAGUUAACCCUAUUUGGCCCCGCAGGCUUCAAGAUAUGUGUGAUGAAUUACUAGGCGAAACCCCUGAUGAAAAGACCCUGUACAAUAUAUGGUUAAGUGGGAAUUCUUUGGUGGAUUACUUGUGCAAAGGUGAUGGGCUUUUUGCAGCAUGUAGCUCCUCUGACUGGGGUCCAUGGCCUGGUGAUGAUUAUGAUGAUUAUGAAGACGGAGAAGAAUUUGACUAUAUUCAUGAUGAGUUUUGAUAAAUAAUUCUUUGGGUAAGUCUUAGUAUAACAUUAUAGAUUAUGUACUGCAACAUUUUAGCGUGAUUUUUACAAUAUUUUUCUCACAAUUGAAUUGCACUUCAUCAGUUUUAGAACUAAUCAUGAAAAACAAUUUAUUUUGAAAUAUUAGCAAGAAUUUAUUUACUCUGCCUUGUAGAGAGUCAAUGAUUUUUCUGUGUCUGGCAGAAUAAUAAUGAUGAUAACUUUAUAUUGUAGUCAUUUGUAUCUCAAAUUUAAGGUCACAUCAAUUGGUUAUAAAUGUACUUUUAAGGUUUGUAGUGUUUGUAAAUGCCAGGAAAGUUUCAGGGUUUAAUUUUUAUCGUGCCAUUUGCUUUUAGGGACCAUUGGCAAUUAUUUAUUUUCUAGAGUUUUAUUUUUAUGUACACUGAGUACAGUAUAAGGUACAAUUUACAGUUACCACCAUUUGUAUGUUUACCCUGAAAAUUCAUCAUUUUAUUGAGAAUGUUGAAUUAUCAAAGGUACAUAGUGAAAUUGUUGAUAGUACAUGAGGAUUUUUACACAAUGUUCUCCAAGUAUUUUGUCACUACUGUACCAUAUUUUGAGUUCUUUUCUGAUCAGGAUGUAUAUAUCCAUAUAAGUAACCACCGUGGAAGGACAGUACAGUUAUGUAAAGUAUGUACAAGCAUUUGUCAUAUAGCCACUGUAUAAUGUUUGAAACUACAAUAGAUAACAAAUCCAGUGCCAUUUGCUGUAAGUGAAUGUUUAUUAUUUAAACCAGUUCUCAGUAUGUUAAUAAUACGUGAUCUCAAUUUGAUAAAGUAAAAUUCAAAAUUCUGUAGCAUUUGAAGAGAUUGUUUAACAGCUAUUUUACUCUCUGCCACUGAGGAAGUAGUUUCCUUUCAUAUUCGAAGAAUAUUACACUGAUGGUUGAUCUACUGUAUGAAUGUUGAACUUCACCCUGCAAGUACCAGAGUUAUUAUGCAGGUUGACAAUAUUAAAUGGGUGUUGUCUUUAUAUGUAUGUUUGAUGAUCAUUAUAUAGGAUACCACAGGUACCACCAGAAGUGAGAAAUUUAUGUUUGCAAGUUCAGCAAUAAAAUAACAGUGUGUUUUCAAGGAUCAUGUUGUUUAUAGUAAUGUACAUGAAACUAAAUACCUGAUCUCUCAAAUUUCAGUUUCAGAAUUAAGAAAAACUUCAUUUCAAUGCAGGUUAUUUUUUCUGAAUUACUAACAGAUGUGAUUCUGGCUGGAGCAGAAAAAAAUAAUGGUAAAAUAUUUCUUUUAUAAAAGUCAGAUGUUCCACUGAACCAGAGUUGGUAUUAAAAUUAAACAUUUGUUUUCAGUAACAAUGUACUGUGAUUUUUAUCCUCUUAAGUUUUUACCAUUGUAAAACUUUCACUAACUUUUUUUAUCGUAUUAGCUUAUGUAAAUUCAGGAUAAAAUGUUAAACAAUGCUGAAAAACUUAUGGCACAGCUUGAAGGUAUAACCGAUCUUUUAGAUAACAUGAUUAACAGGACACUUGGCUUAUUUUUGUGAAAUAGUAGAUUAACAGGAAAGAACACACCUAAGGUUGUCAAGACUUAUCAGAGUAAUUAGUAUGAUCUUUUGGUAAUGUAUUUUUAACCAGCAAGAAAAUAUGCAUUGCAUAUAGAUUUUAAUGUACCUAUAAAAUCAUGAUGCAGUUCAAUUGUCA